rnacentral:rRNA from 1 species
UAUUGGAGCGGCCGAUGGCAGAUUAGCUAGUUGGUGGGGUAAAAGCCUACCAAGGCGACGAUCUGUAGCUGGUCUGAGAGGACGACCAGCCACACUGGGACUGAGACACGGCCCAGACUCCUACGGGAGGCAGCAGUGGGGAAUUUUGGACAAUGGACGCAAGUCUGAUCCAGCAAUGCCGCGUGCGGGAAGAAGGCCUUCGGGUUGUAAACCGCUUUUGUCAGGGAAGAAACCUU